rnacentral:rRNA from 1 species
AUUGAACGCUGGCGGCAGGCUUAACACAUGCAAGUCGAGCGGAGAGAGGUAGCUUGCUACUGAUCUUAGCGGCGGACGGGUGAGUAAUGCUUAGGAAUCUGCCUAUUAGUGGGGGACAACAUUUCGAAAGGAAUGCUAAUACCGCAUGCGUCCUACGGGAGAAAGCAGGGGAUCUUCGGACCUUGCGCUAAUAGAUGAGCCUAAGUCGGAUUAGCUAGUUGGUGGGGUAAAGGCCUACCAAGGCGACGAUCUGUAGCGGGUCUGAGAGGAUGAUCCGCCACACUGGGACUGAGACACGGCCCAGACUCCUACGGGAGGCAGCAGUGGGGAAUAUUGGACAAUGGGCGGAAGCCUGAUCCAACCAUGCCGCGUGUGCGAAGAAGGCCUUAUGGUUGUAAAGCACUUUAAGCGAGGAGGAGGCUACUUUAGUUAAUACCUAGAGAUAGUGGACGUUACUCGCAGAAUAAGCACCGGCUAACUCUGUGCCAGCAGCCGCAGUAA